GAAUGUGCUACACAUGGACUCCUAAUGGAAUUAGUGUAUCUGCAUCCUGCCCACAUAGAUUAAAGCACUGGAUUGGGGCCUAUCAUUUACAGUGACAGUGCAGCCCUGUGAGGCAGACCACGUGGGACUCCCUGUUAAGACACAGUCAAGAGAUGACAUCAGUCUUUGUAGGAACAUAGGAAAUAGCAUCACAGAUGAAGGCACAAAGUACUGAAGUUUCAGAAGAAAAAACAACACAGAAUCUUUACAUCAAUCCAGUAAAAAAAACAACUCACCACUUUGGGAAGGAUCUACUCAAAAGAUCUGGCCGGUUGUGCACUGGGGUGCAAUUCAAGCUAGCAUGGUUAUGAAGGCAGUAGGCACAAGACCCCUGCUGCUCAAAAGUCUGCGGAACAGUUCUGGCCCAGGACCCAGCUGUGCACUGUGUCACAACACCAGUAAUGUUCACCUUGGGAAAGCUGAUGAGUUGACUGGCAUCAGAGACUGUCCAAAGCAAGGAGUCAGAUGGAAAGGAUCACGAGGGAAAUUGGCUGCGUAUCCAAGAGAAGGAUUUGAAACAGUGCAAUCCCAUUUUCACAAGGUCCAGCUUGGAGAUGUGUGUCCAAAUCUCCAGUGCCGCUGACAGGGUGCUUGCACAGGCAGAGUCCUGCCAGCUCUUCAGUCAGGCUGAGCCUGAAUUUGCCACGAGUGCAAGUCCUAAGUCUUGAAUGUGGAUUCAAGACGAGGAACAGGACCUUGUCCCACAAAAAGCUUUUCCACCCAUGGUGUCAGACUGGGAGCCUGGUUGUGUUUUCUACAUUAUAUUCAGCUAAAUCAAUCAUUCAGCAGCUUCCAUCCGUAUUUUUCCUCUGUCUUUCCCUGUUACCCUUUGUUCUGUUUGGAGCACGGACUGGUGGUGGCUUUGUGCCUGGUACAGAGGGUGCUCACCUGAUGGCUGCCGUCAGGCAAAUCGUAAUUUUCCUCUGAAAGGAAAUAGCAAAUGUCUUUGUGUCUUGUUCUGUCACCCUUGUGCUCCCAGACCCCAGCUCUGAGGACAGGACCCUUCCCCUCUGCCUCCUUUUGCUCUGAUUUGCCCUGCCUUCCACGAGCCCUGUUGCUGACUGCACUCUCACUGAUUAUUUUUUUUCAGGGGCUGUAAACCUCAGUGCCACCUCAGCUCGCAUUAGUGUCAGAGAAGUAACUCCUGGCUGUUUACAAAAGAGAAAAUGGAAAGAUGAGCAUUAUUUCAUGUGAAAUGUGGUAGAGAGCCUAUGCUGAGAUUCUUUGCGAGGCCUGAGGCUCCAGCUACCUGAAGAAGCUGGUGAAAGCUUCCGUCAUCUGGUGAUUCAGCUCCCUCUGCCAUGGCUCCAGCCCUGCUCUGCGUGGGCGUCUCACAACUCACAUCAACUCUGGUUUUGAUGCUAGGGCUAUUCACCCAAGUUUCUCUUGCAUGGAAGAGUUUGCUGGCUUUUCAACUGUCCAGUGUUCUCUUGAAGAUGUAUAUUGGGGUAAAAAAAAAAAAAAAAGCAAAUUUUCUUGUAGAUUGCUUUUUAGCUGUUUCUACUAGGAGUGAGAAAAUGGGGCUCUGAUGCAAGGUCAUACCAGUCUGAUCCCUUCUUGGAAAGAGAUAGCACUGCAUGGUGCCGAAAGUCACUUUCUCCAGCAGACAAAACCCUGUAUUCAUCUCUCCACUGUCCCCAUUACCCAUGAUGAGGGCACCCAGCACCAGCAGACUCUUGCCCCUUGUAGCACAAUGCAAGCUGGAAUGUGGGUUGGGUUUCCUGGAAGAAAUACUUGAAACACAGCUCCUCAGGGCUAUGCAGGCACUUCUAUUGAGUUAAUUCCAUUUGAAUUUGGGUGUUGAAAAACUGAGGUGAGUGAGCCAAACAGCUUAGGAAUAUUGCUUAAAAAUACAUCUUUCCAGGGCAGAAGGAAAUAUACAAAACGUGGAUUUCUUUUAGAAGAAGUCUCUGUUUUAUUAUUACAUUGGUUUCCCAUUUUCAGUCUUUUCUAGAAGGGAAGGGGAUGUUUUGUUCAGAAGUCAUUUUAGCAGGUUCUAUCUAGCUUGCUGAACUGAAUUCCUUCCCCCCAACCCUAAAAGGUUUUCUUUUUAAUAACAGCUGUUAUUUCUUUCCAAGUGCUGAGGAGAGGAGUCCAAUAAACCCCUUCUUGGGUUGCUUCCA
ensembl:lncRNA